GUGCGCACCCCAGCAGCACGCAUACUCAACCUGGAACGACACAGGCAAGAUUCGCACGGUCCCUGCACAAGGAUGACACGCAAAUUCGUGGCGCGUUCCAUAGUUUU